rnacentral:rRNA from 1 species
GACAGAGGUGCCGAGCGUUAGGCGGAAUCACUGGGCUUAAAGCGUGUGUAGGCGGGUCGUUAAGUGCCUUGUGAAAUCCCACGGCUCAACCGUGGAAACUGCUGGGCAUACUGCCGAUCUUGAGCCAGCUAGGGGCAACCGGAACAAACGGUGGAGCGGUGAAAUGCGUAGAUAUCGUUUGGAACGCCAAUGGUGAAAACAGGUUGCUGGGGCUGUGCUGACGCUGAGACACGAAAGCCAGGGGAGCGAACGGG